UCUGUUGUUCAAGUCUGUUCAUCUAUAAAUAGGAUAUCCAUCUCUUUUUGAAUCGUACAUAUAAUCACUUAACCUUAGAUUUCUGUGGUCAAAUACUUUUGAGAUAAUUAAUGGCUGUUUUUGCAACCAAGCAUCUGCUUCUUGUGGCUUUUUUCUUGCUUUGCUUCAUCUCAACCACUACCGAUCAAGCAAGAAAGUUACAUUCCCCAAGUCUUGCAAGUCUAGGAAACGACGACGUUGCAAGAGAAGAAGAGCUGCAAGAGUUGGCUAUAAUUGAUUACACUCCAGCAAGAAAGAAGACUCCCAUUCACAACUAGAGUACGUACUUGUUCCAAUAUUAAUUUCAUACAACUAUACAUAAUUUGAUAUAUAAUUAGCUAGAGCGCUCUAAGCUUUGCUUGUGAGGUUCUCUUUCUAUACUGAAGACUACUUAACAAAGAAAGAGAACAUAUAUAUAUAUAUAUAGCUAAGCUAGAUUGGCAUCUAGGGUUUGGAGGUGAAAUCAGAAUUCCAAAGGAUUUGUUUAUAAUUCAGCUGUAUAAUGAAGCAGAAAACUUGAGCCUUUCGCUUCAGAAACAUUGUAAUUAAGUGGAUGUGCCUAUCAUUCAUGUAAAGCUUCUUAAUUAUAUAUACACUAUUGUAAUAUUAAUUGGUUAUGUUUUCUUGUUA